rnacentral:tRNA from 1 species
CCGCCCGUGGCGCAAUUGGAUAGCGCAAUGGAUUCCGAUUCCAGAGGUUGGGGGUUCGAAUCCCUUCGGGCGGGCCA